rnacentral:misc_RNA from 1 species
GAUGAAGAACGUAGCGAAAUGCGAUAAGUAAUGUGAAUUGCAGAAUUCAGUGAAUCAUCGAAUCUUUGAACGCACAUUGCGCCCGCCAGCACUCUGGCGGGCAUGCCUGUUCGAGCGUCAUUUCAACCAUCAAGCCCCCAGGGGCUUGUGCUGGGGCCCUGCGGCUGCCCGCAGGCCCUGAAAACCAGUGGCGGGCUCGCUAGUCACACCGAGCGCAGUAGCACAUCUCGCUCAGGGCGUGCGGCGGGCUCCUGCCGUGAAACCCCCCACUGUAACCCCAAAGGUUGACCUCGGAUCAGGUAGGAAUACCCGCUGAACUUAAGCAUAUCAAUAAGCAGAGGA